CGUGUAGGCGGCCAAACAGGUCCACUGUGAAAACUCGAGGCUCAACCUCGAGACGUCGGUGGAAACCGUCUGGCUAGAGUCCGGAAGAGGAGAGUGGAAUUCCCGGUGUAGCGGUGAAAUGCGCAGAUAUCGGGAAGAACACCCGUGGCGAAGGCGGCUCUCUGGGACGGUACUGACGCUGAGACGCGAAAGCGUGGGGAGCGAACA
rnacentral:rRNA from 1 species